GGCAUGCACACUGCUUAUGAUGAAAGGAUCCUAAAAUAAUUGUAUUAGAUGAACCGUCUGUUCUUCUUGCUUUGAGGCCAGUACAGCAUGACAUUUCAGAGAUAAAAUGUUGUGGAACAGCCUCUGACUUACAGCCCAAUGGAACUUUUCCGAAGCCAUCCUUCUCCUUUUUAUUUGCUUGAGGUUUAUAACCUGAAAACGUCAAGCUUGCAUCACGCUGUUGCCAAAAGAUCGUCCUGUGCAUUAGAUAAAUCUUAAAUUAUCACCAAAUUAAAUUUUUUCUUCAGAAGUCUGAUUCACAAGCAGUCAGCUCCCCUGUGGAAAAAGACUCCACCCUUCCAAUUCAAAGGAAUUCCAGGAUUCACAAGAAGCACUAGGUUUCCAAGAGGAGACUAUCUGUCCUUAGAAGAACUUAUCUCUGCCUGCAAGUUCAAGUGAGUCCACGGGACCUUAAAUCAAAGGAGCCCAAUGCCAGGUCAGUUGCUGAGUAACUGAUCCUGAUUGUCACAUUUUGACCAGCUGGAUGAAUGACAGCAACAAUUUCUUGGGAUUGCGUCUGGAGUCUACUGCAUUUUCUUUCCUGCAAUUAACUCAUGACUGCAACCUUAACGAGGGGAAAUUAUUUUGAGUUGCAGAUAGGCGGGUUUGUGCCACGUCCUUUGCACAAAGUGUUUGCCUCCGCGCUGCGCGAGGACGGAGCAGUCGGAGUAAAGCCACACGAGGGAUCUGAAAAAGCUGAUGGGCAGAGCUGCAGCAACUUACCUGAGCACUUCCCAGCCCAGGGCUUGCCUGACACGUGGGAAUGUUCUCCAGGAAAAAUCUUCAGUGGGUCUGCUGGAGAGUUCUUUGGGGUUCCCUUUGGUUCCUGGGGUUCAUGCAGAUCCCUUGUGUCUCCUGGGCUUGCAGUGUGA
rnacentral:lncRNA from 1 species